GUUUUAUGGCAAAAAUGUGUUCAGCCUUUCCUACCCAUUUCAAUGUAUUUUCUCAUUUGCCUGAUAUAUGGGAGUAACUCAUCUAGUUUCUAAAUCUUUUCCACAGGCAGUUGCUCCUUGUAUAGCUGUAUAUUUGGUAUAUUUAUAGGAGGAGCAAAGCUCAGGAGCCUCCUAUGUUACCAUCUUGAUUGAUUCUCUGUUUUGAUUCUGUUCUCCUGAAGUACUGAAGUCACCAUGGUUGGAAACAGGAAGAAUGGUGACAGUGAAGUCGGUAUACAUCAGAGGAACACAGACCCUGGCAUCCUUUUCUGCCUCAUGAGCACUCAGAUAUCACAGGUCAAGAUCACUAUGCCCUUGGUGCUCAGUGGGAAAAUGGUGCAAGCUAGAAGGUCUCCACUGACAAGAUCUGAAUGUUUUGACAGAUAUGAAUUUAUUUUGUCGAGAUUAUUUGCUCUGAAGCCUCUGAUUUCUAAUGAUUGAGGUUGGAGGCUGAAUUCUGGUUGCAAGAGGAAGAGGAAGAGAAAGAUUUUUUAGAAUUUACCAAAUGCUAAAAAUAAGGAGAAAUUCAAUUUAUGAACUGGGGGUAGAAAAGACAGACUGGUUUUUUCCUUAGGUAUUAUGUGUAGAAGUGACAAAACAGAAAGAAAUAAGAAAUAAUUACAGAAUAAUAUAAUUUGUUCUUAGCGGGGAAAACUGAGUAAUUCACUGAGAAAUUGUAUUUGCUUCCAUUAAACCCACUUACCUUCCAGUCACAAUUGCUAAGCUUAGAUUCUCAAAAGGUAUGGAUGGAACUGGAGGGUAUUAUGCUGAAUGAAGUAAGUCAAUCAGAGAAGGACAAACAUUAUAUGGUUUCACUCAUACGGGGAAUAUAAAAAAUAGGGAAAGGGAUUAAAAGCUAAAAGAGAGAAAAUGAGUGGGAAAUAUCAGUGAGGGUGACAAAUCAUGAGAGACUCCUAACUCUGAGAAAUGAACAAUGGGUAGUGGAAGCUGAGGUGGGCAGGGGAUUGGGGUGACUGAGUGACGGGCACGGAAGGGGUCAGUUAAUGGGAUGAGCACUGGGUGUUUUACUGUAUGUUGGCAAAUUGAACUCCAAUAAAAGAAAUGUACAAAAAAUAGCAGAAGAAAUCAAUAAGACACAUUUACCUUUUUUAUCCACAGAAUAAAGGAUGUUUAUAAAAAAAAAAAAGAAAGAAAGAAAGAAAGAAAGAAAGAAAGAAAGAAAGAAAGAAAAGAAAGGAAGGAAGGAAGAAAAAGAAAAGAAAGAAAGAAAGAAAGAAAGAAAGAAAGAAAGAAAGAAAGAAAGAAAGAAAGAAAAAACAUCACUGGUCAAAGACACUCCAUUUAUUUUUUUUCUUCCUUUCUUUCAUUUCUUUUUUUU
rnacentral:lncRNA from 1 species